GAGCCACUGAAUCCAACUUGGUUGAUGAGUUGAUACCCUUGUACCCUCAAAGUGAGAAUAUUAUUUUAGCUUGUCUGUGGUCCUUAGCGACCUAGUCAUCUAUGUAUAUUUUGCCUUUUUCUCGAAAUAUCUAGUUUACUAUUUGUUUUCAUAAAAGGAGCGAUGAUCUUUACCCUUUUCUGUCUACUUCUUCGGUUGUGAUGGGUUAGGGUGGGUACAAGUGGCUGUCUGACAAGUU